UUCUCCCCUCGAAUAUUUUUUUUUUCGAUUCGUUCUUGUCUUCUCCGUUGAAGGCCACGAGUAUUUGAUUCUUCUCCGACGGUUUCUCCGACAGUGCGCGGUUCUCCGGUGGCUCUUGGCUUCCAAACCGCAAUCCCUCUGUGACGGCGCUCCAGAUAUGUGCAAUCUCCAAUUCCUGGGAGUGGUGGCACCGGAGGAGAGAGCAUUGGUGACAGGGGGAUAAACUCUCAGAAAUUGACUACUGAUGAUGCUUUGACGUACUUGAAGGAGGUCAAAGAGAGGUUUCAAGAUCAAAGGGACAAAUAUGAUAUGUUCCUUGAGGUUAUGAAAUAUUUUAAGGCACAAAGGACCGAAACAUCUGGUGUGAUUGCACGGGUGAAGGAGUUGUUCAAGGGGCAUAUCAAUUUGAUUUUCGGGUUUAACACCUUUUUGACUAAGGGAUUUGAAAUAACACUCGAUGAAGAAGAAGCUCCACCAAAGAAAACUGUUGAAUUUGAAGAAGCCAUACAUUUUGUAAAUAAGAUUAAGAAACGGUUCCAGCACGAUGAAGAUGUCACACUGAAAUUUCUCAAAUUUUUAUAGCUCUGAUAUCUGUUUGUUAGGUAUCGACUCUUUUUGAGGACCACCUGGAUUUGCUUGAAGAGUUUACUAGGUUUUUGCCUGAGUCUUUGGCUUCUCAUUCAGCAGCCCAGUCGAAUGUUAAUAGAGAAGGUAUGUUAUUGUUGUCAGGUCCCUCAUUUCUGUGCUGAUACGUUUUCAUCAUCAGGAUCACCGACGACGAGAAAGAGCUGUGGCUUCUCGGGGUGACCGUGAUCAUAGUGUUGACCGAUCCAACCAUAAUGAUGAUAAAGCAAUGGUUAAGAUGCACUGAGAGCAGAGGAAACACGUUGAUAAGGAGGAUAGAGAAAGGAGAUGCACCGAGAGCAGAGAAAACACGUUGAUAAGGAGAAUAGAGAAAAGACGAUGCACCAUGUUUUUUUUUAAAUCUCUUAAGAGUUUCUAUCGUUGUACGGACUAAAACUAAAGGUUUCUAAUCCAAGUGUUUUAAUCAACUUUAUGAUGAGAUAAUAAUAAAAUAUUGAC